GCCUGGGUGGCUCAGUUGGUUAAGUGUCUGACUUCGGCUCAGGAUCAUGAUCUCACGGUUUGUGGGUUCGAGCCCCGUGUCGGGCU
rnacentral:tRNA from 1 species